GCGGAUGUGGUGAAAUUGGUAUACACGCUAGACUUAGGAUCUAGUGCCUUUGGCGUGGAGGUUCGACUCCUCUCAUCCGUACCA
rnacentral:tRNA from 1 species